ensembl:lncRNA
GAACGUUCCCGACUGCUCUCUGUCCUUUUAACGUGGAACGUUCCGUUUGUCCUUUUAACGUGGAACGUUCCCGACUGAUCUCUGUCCUUUUAACGUGGAACGUUCCCGACUGAUCUCUGUCCUUUUAACGUGGAACGUUCCGACUGCUCUCUGUCCUUUUAACGUGGAACGUCCCGACUGAUCUCUGUCCUUUUAACGUGGAACGUCCCGACUGCUCUCUGUCCUUGGAACGUUCCACGUUAAGACACGUUAAAUUGUGUUACAGUAAAGUCUUUAUUAAACUCCUUCCUGCUCCUAAACUACAGAGGAUAUUGGGUCAGACCCCCUCUCUCUCUCAAGCAUGAUGCCUCUCCCAAUAAGUGUUUUGUAAUUUUAUAAAAUACCAGAUUAGUUUAAUCUCCACUGUAAUUUGUAUUUUAUUUCAUGUGUAAAGGUCUAACAUGUCCUGUUCAGGAACUACAUUAGGAGUAGAUUAGGAGUUACUACAUUAGGAGUAGAUUAGGAGUUACUACAUUAGGAGUAGACUACAUUAGGAGUAGACUACAUUAGAGUAGACUACAUUAGGAGUAGAUUACAUUAGGAGUAGAUUAGGAGUAGACUACAUUAGGAGUAGAUUAGGAGUUACUACAUUAGGAGUAGAUUAGGAGUUACUACAUUAGGAGUAGACUACAUUAGGAGUAGAUUACAUUAGGAGUAGAUUACAUUAGGAGUAGAUUAGGAGUAGACUACAUUAGGAGUAGAUUAGGAGUAGACUACAUUAGGAGUAGACUACAUUAGGAGUAGAUUACAUUAGGAGUAGAUUACAUUAGGAGUAGA